UCGAGCGGACAGAUGGGAGCUUGCUCCCUGAUGUUAGCGGCGGACGGGUGAGUAACACGUGGGUAACCUGCCUGUAAGACUGGGAUAACUCCGGGAAACCGGGGCUAAUACCGGAUGCUUGAUUGAACCGCAUGGUUCAAUUAUAAAAGGUGGCUUUUAGCUACCACUUACAGAUGGACCCGCGGCGCAUUAGCUAGUUGGUGAGGUAACGGCUCACCAAGGCRACRAUGCGUAGCCRACCUGARAGGGUGAUCGGCCACACUGGGACUGARACACGGCCCARACUCCUACGGGAGGCAGCAGUAGGGAAUCUUCCGCAAUGGACRAAAGUCUGACGGAGCAACGCCSCGUGAGUGAUGAAGGUUUUCGGAUCGUAAAACUCUGUUGUURGGGAARAACAAGUACCGUUCGAAUAGGGSGGUACCUUGACGGUACCUAACCAGAARGCCACGGCUAASUACKUGCCASCAGCCGCGGUAAUACGUAGGUGGCAAGCGUUGUCCGGAAUUAUUGGGCGUARAGCGSGCSCAGGCGGUUUCUUAAGUCUGAUGUGAAAGCCCCCGGCUCAMCCGGGGAGGGUSAUUGRA
rnacentral:rRNA from 1 species